UAUAUACUCCCUCCGUCCGGAAAUACGUGUCAUCAAAAUGAAUAUAAGGGCAUGUAUCUAGGCAUAUAUUAGUUUUAGAUACAUCUUUUUAAUCCAUUUUAAUGAGAAGUAUUUUCGGAUGGAGGGAGUACAAU
rfam:Triticum aestivum genome assembly, contig: Triticum_aestivum_CS42_TGACv1_scaffold_404576_5BL